rnacentral:tRNA from 1 species
UCAAUCCGAUAGGGGCU